rnacentral:rRNA from 1 species
UACGAAGGGGACUAGCGUUGUUCGGAUUUACUGGGCGUAAAGCGCGCGUAGGCGGAUCGCUAAGUCAGGGGUGAAAUCCCAGGGCUCAACCCUGGAACUGCCUUUGAUACUGACGAUCUGGAGAUCGGGAGAGGUUGGUGGAAUUCCGAGUGUAGAGGUGAAAUUCGUAGAUAUUCGCAAGAACACCAGUGGCGAAGGCGGCUCACUGGCCCGGUACUGACGCUGAGGUGCGAAAGCGUGGGGAGCAAACAGG